GUAAAAAUACAGAAUUGCACAAGAAAAAAGAAAAGAUUAGAGAAAAGUCAGAAGAACAUAAACAUCAUUUUGUGUGACAUAUUUU